rnacentral:lncRNA from 1 species
CGCGGUGUGCUUGGUGGAGGGAGGCUCGUCUCUCGCAGCUCGGCAGCGAGGCGUGGUGGUGGUCCCUGAGUGGCGAUGGCGCGGUUGCUGCGCAGGGGUGCGCGGGUCAGUGGAGGUGCUGGUUGGCGUCGGUCAACCGCGUGGGAGUGGUGGUGUUGCUGAUUCGGGCGAAAGCUUGGCCGGUGCUAGCUGGCCGUCGGCGGCGGCGCUCGUGGGCGUCGCUUUCUUCCUUGGAGGCGCCAUCGUGGUGAUCUGUGCAUCCUCAUCUCUCGGGUCAAGAUCUCUGGGCGAAAGUCAGGAUCCUUGUUGGAUCAAGCGGCGUCGUCGUCUCGAACGUCGGUUUCCCUCUUGGGGGCGCCGUUUUGGAGAUCUUGGUCCCUUUUGUGCUUCCUGCAGGCUGGACGUGCACGGCAUCGCGGUCAGCAGGUGCCCGACUGGCGGUGAGGUUUGUUUGGCGUUGCGACGCGUGUGGCAACGACGAUGGUGGCGAGCAAAGCCGAGUCGCGGCUUGUCCUUUUAAUGUCGAAGGUCCGGUGCGCCAAUGGGUGUGCCAAUGCUGGUUUCUGACUGUGACAGAGAAGUCGGCGCUGUGGGAGGCGAGGCCGCUGCGGCAACGAUGACUCCAUGAGGGCGGUUUUCAGCGUGCGGUGCUCUCUGGAUGUUGCGCUAGACUAGGUCGGUGCGAGGCUUGCAACUUUCUUCUCUGAAGCUCGUCAGCAAAAUCGGAGCUGCCAUGUCCUCGACGUUGCGGUCGACUGUUUGGCGUUGUUGUAGCCAGGUCGUCCGCGUGUGCCCCUUGUGGGGUUUGUAUCUAGGUUUUCGCCUGGUUUUCCUUUAAUUAACCGGGCAACUCUCUUCUUCUUAAUCAAUGAAAAUGGCAAAUCUUUUGCCUCGUUUCAAAAAAAAAAACUUUUAAUCUAUUCAUCUUCAAUCACGACAGUACAACGAACACCAGAAAUAAAAAAAAUUACAUACAGAUUCGUAGACCAUCUAGUGACUACUACAAGCACUGAAGCGAGCCGAAGGCGCGCCGCUGUCAUCGCCCCUCCCUUGCCCGAGUCGGGCACAACUUGUUGUAGUAGACUGUCGGAAAGUCUUCGUGCUAAGGUUCUAUAGGACCAACGCAUCAGAACAACAACCGCCGCCGAUAAAGAGAAACUUAGAUCGAAAGGAUCCAACCUCCACACUAAGUGUUGUGUUGAGAAGAGAAAUAGAAGACCACACGCGUGCUUGCCUUGCCUCGCCUGGCCGGGCACAACUUCCUUUUGCCGUUUCAUUUUUUGAUGUCUUAGCAGACAAGUUAAUUAUUUCUUGUCCGGUAAGUACAUGACUUAGAAACCAAGUUGGUUUGAGAUCGUGAUCACGACACGAUACUGCUUCUGGUCCUAUUAUAUAUACCGCUACCAGCCGUGGCCAAAGACACAACAAAAACAUCUAGUGUUUUGCCACAUCUUGCAACUUACGCCGCCACAUUAGUCUAUUCCAUCCCGAACGACGGCGUGCAUCGACGUGCGCGAGAGGAGGUCUCUAGAAGCGUUCCUCCUUGCGAUUCUACACCGGAAGAGGACUAAUUAGGUUUUUGAGAAGUGCUCUGCGUGACUGCUCCAGUUCGUCAUCACGGGUAGUCUUCUGUCCAAAUCGGGCAGCGCUACUCAUCGUCAUCUACAACACCGUUAGCAAAAGAUUCGACGUCAACAUCGUCAUCAACAACAUCACUCCCACGGUAGCUAACGAACAAUACGGCAAUAUGUUCAUGUCUCUAUUUGUAGUUGUUGUUACAUAUGUGAUCAUGCCGUGCAUGUUAUCCCGUUUGUCUAGUAUGCUAGAUUAUUGCAUGCUAUUUUUUUGUACUAUUCAUGAAUUAUUUACUGGAAUUAAAAAUGGAUUUGCCUAAUAUUCCAACACAGACGUGUACAAGCUAAGAAACUUGAGGCUUAGAGUUUAACUCUGAAUCAUCGAACCAAAUAUUUAAAUCCAUGCUGAGGCACGCAUAUAACUAGUGAACAAAAAAGUACGUCGCCAUCUCUUCGGAGACUGUUGAUAUCGAUAAAUGUGACUCAAAUAUGGAAGUAGACAAGAAGAUGGUGAUUAGAUGUUGCUGCCCACUCAGAAGAAGAUCCCCACCACCCAUUGAGUGUGCCCCGCGCUGCCACCUCGACAAGGCGGCAGCGACAAUAGGGUUGAUCAAAACCACUGAUUGUGAGCCGAACAAAGGUGAGGCUCCUAUCACCGCCUCAGGGACAGGACCAGGGUACAUGGGAAGAGGGAGGUGGCGGAAGGUUAGUGGUGGUACCUCACAACUCUGGCUUGGCCUCCCUCUUAAUUUUCCAGCCCUUCCCUCCUCUGUCCAUCUCUAGCACUUUACAAGGUUAUUAUGGACUCUGUCCAUCUCUAGCACUUUACAAGGUUAUUAUGGAUGGUUAUUAUUUAGGAACCAAAGUAUUCUAUGAGUUAUAGUCGAUAUUUUUUUAUGAUCUCUUGACAUGAACAAAUUCUACCCGCCAUCUUUAAAAUUCAUCCAUCCAUAAACAUUCUAAGAUAGUUUGAAGGUGUGAAAGUUGCAGGUUCAAGUGUAAAAAUAUCGAUUUCGAAAAGAAGGAUAACUAUCAGCAUCAUCAUCGGUUGAUGCACACAACCAUAUAUGACUUCCCUACUUAUAAAGAUUGGAGUUGAUGGU